rnacentral:rRNA from 1 species
UACAGAGGUGGCAAGCGUUGUUCGGAAUUACUGGGCGUAAAGGGCGCGUAGGCGGCUUUCUAAGUCAGACGUGAAAUCCCCCGGCUUAACCUGGGAACUGCGUCUGAUACUGGGAAGCUUGAGUUCGGGAGAGGGAUGUAGAAUUCCAGGUGUAGCGGUGAAAUGCGUAGAUAUCUGGAGGAAUACCGGUGGCGAAGGCGGCAUCCUGGACCGAAACUGACGCUGAGGCGCGAAAGCUAGGGGAGCAAACGGG